GAUGAACGCUGGCGGCGUGCCUAAUACAUGCAAGUCGAGCGAACAGACGAGGAGCUUUCUCCUCUGACGUUAGCGGCGGACGGGUGAGUAACACGUGGAUAACCUACCUAUAAGACUUGGAUAACUUCGGGAAACCGGAGCUAAUACCGGAUAAUAUAUUGAACCGCAUGGUUCAAUAGUGAAAGACGGCUUUGCUGUCACUUAUAGAUGGAUUCGCGCCGCAUUAGCUAGUUGGUAAGGUAACGGCUUACCAAGGCAACGAUGCGUAGCCGACCUGAGAGGGUGAUCGGCCACACUGGAACUGAGACACGGUCCAGACUCCUACGGGAGGCAGCAGUAGGGAAUAUUCCGCAAUGGGCGAAAGCCUGACGGAGCAACGCCGCGUGAGUGAUGAAGGUCUUCGGAUCGUAAAACUCUGUUAUUAGGGAAGAACAAAUGUGUAAGUAACUAUGCACGUCUUGACGGUACCUAAUCAGAAAGCCACGGCUAACUACGUG
rnacentral:rRNA from 1 species